GCACCUUUAGCUCAGCUGGAUAGAGCAACUGCCUUCUAAGCAGUAGGCCAAUGGUUCGAGUCCAUUAAGGUGCG
rnacentral:tRNA from 1 species